CGCUUCAAAACCCUGACCAUCGUCACCCACCCAGCACCAGUCUCUGAGAUGGUGAGACCAAGAGCCACUCUUCUCAUCGCUGUCAUGUGUGUUUUGCCCUCUUUAUAAGAUCUCUGGAACAGACGUGGAGAUGGAAGUCCGAUGAGGAAAGAGCAUCACUAUAUACCAUGACUGGAUGAUUGGAAACUGCCAUCCUGUUUCUGACUGUUGUGGCUCCUUGAGGUUUCCACUCCACAAAAACAGAACUUACAGUUGAUCAGGGAAGCUUUAGCAGGGCGGAAAUCUGACUGUAUGGAUGGCACCCUGUGACCAUGCCAUACUGAAAGCCACUGAGUUCUAUGUGAACCUUUAAAGUAUUAAGACAAAUGGGGUAUAGUUGAUAUAACUGAUACUACUUUCAUAUAAGACCAUCCUUGUAAUGGUUUGUGAAUGGUUUAAAAUCAUGGUUAUUAGUGAGCUGUUAUAUCGGAUGAAUAUGAAAAUGAUAAUGAAGCUGACAGGUUUAAUGCUGAUUGAUGAAGACAAGGUAAGAUCAAUAAACAUAAAAAUCUGAGGUUUAACAGUUGAAUGAAGGUUCACUAAUCGGCUAACAACAGGUCACUGUGGCCCUUUUUAUUUAAGGGUUGUGCAUGCUUAUGUAUGAUUUUAAGGUCGUUAUGACCAAUGAAUAAGCAUUAGUUAACUAAUUUUAAUCCAUUCAUGAACCUUUAUAAAAGUAGUCUUAUUUUAAAGUGGGAUCAUCUAACCAGUACGACACAUUUGGGACUGUAUCAGGAAUACAGGGAACAGGGGACACACUAAAUGUGCAGGGAGUUUCCCAGUGCCAGGGGUGAAUAAGGGUUUAGUGAGUAAGUCUUCUUCUUGGGCUGUGGAAGCAGUGGUGAACCCAAACAGCAAAAGGGGGCAGUCACUGGUGCAUCAGAUGGCACUGCUUAUGUAGACAGAGCAAACUGUCAAAACCCUGAAGAUUACAUAUGAAGCUGGUACUUUUCCACAAGUCUAGCCCAAGUCGUGCUCCCAAAGACUCCAGUUGCUGCACUGCUGUGAAAGACCACCCCCCAGAACUCCACUAGGUAGAGGAUUAGCAGAGUUGGUACCAGCAGCUGUGCAACAUAUGGAAUUUUAGUUGACCUUCUCAUUGACUUUGUGAUGUUUUCAAGGGGACUAAAGUGGAGUCUUAAAUCUAGAAGAAGAACAUAGUGGACAUCGGGUAUCACUGUUAGUUUUGACAUGGCAAAGACUGGAUGAAGGCCUAAAGAGCUGAAGCGUUGGAGGCCACAGCAGCAGGAUGAACUGAUGCAUCAUGAGAGGUUGAAGUGAGGCCAGUGAGUCCAACGUGAGAAGGGCUAGGGCCCAGGCCAUGGACUGUCAUUACAGGUAGCUCUUUUUGAGUUCUAGCAAUACAGCCAGACCUGAGACUUCAACAGCAAGAGAGAGUGGAAUAAUCUCUUCACUCUGAACCAAUUUAUCCAUCUAUCUAGUUGGAGCAACCUCACUGCAACCAUGGUAAAUCCUAAAUUAUGUACCAGAGGUCAGCCAAAGGAUGCAGAAUGUACGUGCAUGCUAUCUUUACCAGGGCUUUUCCAGAAGGCAUUUCAAUGACAGGGCAAAGCUAUGGCUGGAGUGGACUGAAUUAAUUUAGAAUGACAAAGAGCCUCUUAUGGCAGGACCACCAUGAGAGUGACUAAAUGUAUUUGUUUAAAUCAGCAGUACACAACUCCAGUCCUAGAAGGCCAAUGUCCAGCACGGUUUGAUCGUUUUUCCUACUCUAACAUUCAACUCACCUGUUAACUGCCAGGUUUAUUGGGUGUGUUUGAGCAGGAAGACUCAAGUCAGACACCCUAAUGCAGUUCCCCUGCUCCACUCAAUACUAAACACUCUGCAGUCAACUAACUUCAGCUGUGCUAAACAGGAAACCCACAAUGAGGCCUCACAAUCUGACUUUGCUGACUGGUAGACAAUCUGUAGUGUAUUGACUGGUCCUAACUUUUAGAUCUAAAUCAGUGGACUGACCUAACAUCUGUGUUUUUUCUUUUUUUCAGGGGUCGGGCUCAUCCCCUGGGAAAUCUUAAUGCCUCAACAUAUCAAGACAUUUCUAGGGCAAUUCUAUGCUUCCAACUUUGUGGGAACAGUUUGGGGAAAAACCUUUUCUGUUCAGCAUGAUUGCACCCCAGUGCACAAAGCAAGGUCCAUAAAGGCCUGGCUGGGUGAGUUUGACAUGGAAGAACUUGACUGGCCUGCACAGCUGAGUCCUGACCUCAACCCAAUACAACACUUUUGGGAUAAACUAGACCAGAAAUUGUGAACCAAACCCUCUCGUCCAACAUCAGUGUCUGACCUCACGAAUACUCUUCUGGAUGAAUGGGCAAAAAUUCCCCACAGACACACUACACUAUCUUGUAGAAAGCUUCCCAGAAGAGUGGAAGUUGUUAUAGAAUGGGUUGGCAUGUCUUUCCUAGCAACACCUUGCUGCCAUCAGCAUGUCUGGUGAAGUUUUCUUCAUUAUCAAAGUGGAGAUAAAAGUCAGAAGACAUCAAAUCAGUCAGCAGCAAGCACCUUUGACCAACCCCUUACAAUGUCACUGCUUCUCAAAGGUCCUUCCAUACAGACAAUACAGCAGUCAUGGCUGUGUCACAGCUGAAGUUCAUCCUGGACCAAUGAAAAUGCAUUUGUUGGCUGUGGAAUGAAAAGUAUAGACUGGCUGGGAUGGCAGAGCACAACAGCGACGCCAACAGUGUCUAUUCCAAACUCUUGUUGCUAACUCUGCUGAUUGCACCUUCAUGAUCUGCAUGAAAAGGGAGUUGUGUGCAACCUAACCGUUAUUUUUCAGUGUAUAGUACUAUACAAAAAGAAGUGACUGUGCUGCAGUGUGUAAAGUACCUGCUAGCUACAUUAAUAGUGAGGUCAAAACAAAUCAAAUUUGUAUAAAGUCAAUAUAAAAAUGUCAUAUUUAAAGAGGUAACCUAGGACCACAGCUCUCGUUAUACAGAAGCAGGCACUUAGAGAAUAUAUCAUUUAUCAUAUAAGGGCAGUCGUGGGCUGUGGGUUAGGGAACCAGCCUUGUAACUGAAAGCUCGCUGGUUCGACCUCCUGGGCUGACAGUACAUGACUGAUGUGCCCUUGAGCAAGACAACUAAUCCCCAAGUGCUCCCUGGGCACCGCUCCAGGCAAGUGUGCUCAAUGCCCCCUAGUGCAUGUCUUCAAGAGUGUGUGUGUGUGUGUGUGAUGUUUCACUGCAUGGGUGGGUCAGAUUGCGGAGGUGAAAUUGGUGGCGAAG